AUUUGAAAACAAAACAACUAUUGUAGUUGACAAUUUAGAGGUUUUACAAAAUCACUUGUUUGUCAAAAAAAUAUACACCAUCUAUCCCUCUCAUUUCUUUACGUUACUUUUUGGCACGCUUUUUAGAAUUCAUUUAAAGUCUAAUUUCAUAAUAUAUUUUUUUUCCUGAAUAAAAAUUUGAUCUUCAAAUUUCUAUUACAGAAAGAAAAUUUGAAAAAAAUAUAUGAAACUAUGAUUUAUAUCAGCCCUAAAAUGCGUGCAAAGGGUGGGAGUAUAUAACAUUAACAAAUAACUAUACAGCAAAGAUCAUGAAUAACGCAUGCUCAGUACAAUUUAACACACGAGUAUACUUUAUUAUAUGAAUACAUAAAACCAUUGAUAAAUAUUUGUACUAGGACUUUUGCCCGGCUACCGCCGGUAUAUUCUUACUCAGGAGUACUGUGAAAAAGUCGAAUGGAAAUUUUUCAAACAAAAGGUCCACACAAAAGUCUAUGCUAAAGUGCUAUCAUAAGUCCCUAACAAUUUUUUUUUAAGGGUUUGUCUAGUGUGUGCCCAUGGGCACAUUUUAAGCACAAAUUUUUAUAGGUUUGGGGGAUUUUGAUUGGUGUGGUUGUUGCAUUUGCAGGGGGGUCCACCAUUAUUAAUAAACAACAACCAAUCAAAAUGAGUCAAACUUGUGGAAUUUAGUGUUUAGUGUGUGCCCAUGGGCACACACUAGAAAAACCGUUUUUUUAAUAUUGCAUAGGUAUACGAAACACAGUGAGCAUUCUUAUUUAACCAAUUGGGCCGAAGCAUAACAACUGGGCUAACGCCGGCAUAUUCUUUGGCAGGGCUAAUAUGAAAGAGCUUGGGGGAAAUUGCUUAAACAAAAGGUUUACAUGGAUGCUUUUAAAUACAGCACAUAAUAAUUUCUUUAAUAAUACGAUGUAGGGACAUAGCAAUAAGUAAAUUAUACAAAUUUUGCCCAUACAUUACUUGGCUGCUCUUAAGAGGAAACAUGUUACUCUUUACGUUUUAUAUUAUUUGAUGUUUUGAUUUAUCAUACCAAAAAUCCGACGUUGAUUGGAUGAUAAAAAUUAUUAUUUUUUAUUGAAUUUUUUGUGAAUUAAAAUAUUAAUUAUAUAUUUUUAUUCGGAUAAAAAAAUUUAACAAAUAAUAUUUUUAAAUACCGGAUCAAAUCACUUAAAACUACAUGCCCAAAGUGUUAAAUAUUAAAAAAGAGAGGGAAUAACCCAUUAAAAUGUAUUUGGAACAAAAAUAUAUAGUAAAGAAAAUUGUAUGUAUUAUUAUAUUUAAAACUGUCAAAAUCUAAUCAAUCCAUUAUUAGGUAGAAAUAUUUUUAAAGUAAAAUAUCCACCUAUGAGUUUUGUUGCAUGAGAAAUACCAUAUUUCUUAAUUAAAAUGAAUUCGAAGUCUGGAGCACUUCUUCACACACCAUUUCAAGCCGGUAGUCGUUGGUCUCAACUCUCAAAGAAGAAUUAUAAAACUGAAUAGAGAAAUGGUUAACCUGAAUCGUGGAAUAUCAUUUAAAUACUGAAUUAUGUCUGAGGUUGUGAUUUUUAAUAUUUAUUUUAUUUUAGAACUAACAACUCGUUCACAGUAGUAUUAUUAGUUCUUACUGUCCCAAAAUUAUAUAUAAUAAAUGAAAAUAAAUAAUUUUUUGAGUAAAAACUUAAUUAAUAGUAAUCAGGACUUUUGUUUUUAAAAAAAAUAGUAAUCACGACUUUAAAAAAUAUGCAGCGGGUACUACAAAAAUGUGUACAGCGGCCUAUUAUUUAAAUGAGUCUUGUCAAAGGAACCAACUCCUCUGUAACUGACUAUCCAAUAUGAAAAUAACCACUAUCCACCAACUUACUAAUUUUUAUUACUCAAAUAUUAAUCUCUAAUCAGUGAUAAAUUCAGUUGUUUAGUUCAAUAUAUGUUAAUAUAAGUACAUCUUUAUCUUAAAUGGCCUGAUGCACGAUUGAAAAUCAUUGACUUACGUUAUGCUUUACGUUCAAAUUGUAAAAUUGUUCAUGACUUUAAAUAUAAAAAACUUUCAAAACUUUAGAGUCGUAUAGUCAGUGGCGGAACCAGGAUUAAUUUCGACCCCGGGCUAAACUAUUAUUAAAAUUUCAGAAAAAAAAUUAAAAGUAAAUAUGUAUACCUUAAUUGGUUAAGUGGUGACAUCUUUACUGUCUUUUUUUUAGGAAGGAAUGGAUGACAACUAAAUUUUAUGAUUUUGCAUAUUUUGAUAGCGUUGUAAGAUAACUUCAUAGCCUAUGUCUUUAAAUAUGACCUUCUCGAUGUAAACCACCAUGUUAAGUGGGCUAUUAUUUUUAUAUAUAUAAUCAUUUUUAAAUUUGUCCCCGGGCUAAAAAGUUAAAAAUAAAUAAAUUAUACUUAUUAUUUUUUUCUCAGCCCGGGCUGGCGCCGGGGCUAGCCCCCCGGUUCCGCCCCUGCGUAUAGUGCAAUUCUAUAUUUUCCCUAUUACAGCUUUUCUUUUAUACAUGUGUCCGAUGUAUAAUACUAACCAAUAGCUAGACAUAGGGCCUGGAGUUAAUGCGGAAGAAAAUAUGUGAUACACUCGAUCAGUUUGAACAACUACAAUCACUACACAACAUCUUUAACUGACAUGUUGCGGAAAACUUUUAUCUUCUGCAAUGAGUAUAAAGUUGAAAUUAAAGCAACUCAUUUGUAAAAAUAUAUUACAACAUAAUUGUUGAGUCUGACUUUCUUCCUGGUUAAAAAUUAUUUAAAAUCAAGUAAUCCGAAACCUAAAACUGCUUUUGAACUGAUAUACAUGAAAUAUCUGGUAUAACUAAACAACACGGCAGAACCGAGAAAGACCCCAAGCUUGCUUUCUUUUCAUUUCAAAAACAGGCAGACUUUGUAAUAUUAAGUCUACACACCACUUCAGAUGGAAUUGUGGGUUGAACUGUUCACAACUCAUUACUCAAAAACGUCUUCCACUCCCACAAAGUAAUACUUCCUCCGUCCCCCUCAAUUGUUUACAUUGGAGGGGGACAUGAAGACCAAGACAAUGUAUGAAAAAUGAGUAAAGUUAGAUGAAAAGUGGGUAAAGUGGUGGGACCUAUCAAUAUUUAAUACUCCCUCUGUCCCAUUUUAACUGAUGUUUGACUUUUUAACACGUAUAUUGAGGUGUAAAAAGACAAUGUCUACGCUUAAUAAAAAAAUUCAAUUCUUAUAUCAAAUAAAAGUUUAGAUUCUAAAUUUUUAUUUGAUAUAAAUUUUAUAAAGAAUAAUUAUAUUUAGAUGUGAUUUUUUUAACACCUUAAAAUACGUGUAAAAAAGUCAAAAGCAGUUAAAAUGGGACGGAGGGAGUAAUAGAUUUGAGAUAGUGGAGGAAAGUAGUGGGUGUAAUAGUAGUUUUUAUUGUUAAAUAUGAGAUAGUAGUGGAAGAUAGUGGGUGUAAUGAUGAGAAAAACUUACUAUUUAUGAUAAUGUAAAGAAAUGAGAGGGCCAUCCCAAAAUAGUAACGGUAAACAAAUAAGAGGGACAGUAACAACAUUAAUAGUGCUUUGUAUAAUGAGUACAAAAGAAAAGUUUAACAACGUCGCACAUCAAGCAUUUACAUUGUGAUGUGUUAAUACCUCACUUUUCAAACAUGAUUCAAACUGACUUAAUACAAUAAAAAACAUAGAAUAGAAACAGAAGACAGAGUACAUGAAGACUCCAAAUUUGGUAUUUUUUCUUUUCAAAUUCAAUGGUCUAUUAUUGAAUGUACAUACCAGCACGGAGGGAUCUACGCGAACAAAAUUAAAGCAGUAAAUCAAUAAACCAAAUAUACUACCAAACAAAACAUAUAUAGAAAAGUGGUCCUUGUAUAAAAUAGUUGACCGGAUUCUGCCUAACAAAAUAUGCUUAAAAACUACCGACAAUCUAUCGGACAUUUAUAUACUAUGUUACACGUAUAUGGUAGAACACUUCCUUAAACACAACAUUAUCAGUUAUAUUUGUAUUGUGUCCACUGCUAUCAUCAACGAAAAUUUUAAGACCGCGUCGACUGGUAAACCGAUUUACAGCAACAUAAAGUUGGCCAUGCGUGAACACUGAUAUACCGGGCAUCUUUUCAAUAGCGCACACACCUUUGACAAAAUUCUUAUCAUACCGCGCAUUAAGAUUCUCACAAUGCUGCCGAUAUUCAUCAUCAUUAGUAUCUGCAAACAAUUUGAAUAUAUGAAAAACAAAACAGUAAACUAUUCCUCCAAACAUAUAAUGUUAAAUAAUUCUUACAUACCAUCAUCACGAAACAGAAUGCAUUAACGUAAUCAAGACCAACAAUUCUGGACUUCUCUGCGAUGGUUAUGUGGGUGGUAUGUUGUAAUAAAUUAAAAGUGAACUAAUAACAUCUAAAUUAAUCUCUCACCAACGUCCUCAUAGCCCACUACAUACUCCACGAUCCUAUCCGACAUUUGAUGGCCAAAAGCUAGUUUCUUAUUAACUUCAUCAACAACAAAAGUCUCUUUCCUGUUCAAUUUACUCUUCCCACGAAUACCUAUACAUAAAUAAUAUAUCCAUGCAUGUAAAAAAAUUCCAAUGCAUGGAACAAAAUAUGUGCUAUAAUAUAUAUAACACAGUCAAUCACCUUUUAUACUUGAAAUUAUAUUUGACUUUAACUGAUCAAGAGGAAAACAUUCAGCGUGAGGAGAUUCACAUUGAUUGGUACUCGAAAUAGGGGGAGACAACGUCUCUGAGAUUGCACGAUAGGUUCUUUUUCAAAGCAUAAUCAAAUGGUGAGUUAUAAGCUAUAACUUGCGUUUCAUUUAACUAUUACAUAGUAACAUGUAUAUUACCCGGGUCAAAUUUGGAGGACAUAACAACCGGAAAUUUUCAUCGGACAAAAGACCAAGCAUAUGUAUCAGGGAGGGUGUGCCGUUGAUUUCUAUGGAAUAUACAACGAAAUAAGAGAUAAGUAGGAGAAUGUUAAAGCUGUCAUAGAUUGAAGUAUAACGGUUGCAAUCAAUUGGUUUACCUGGCUACUUCGCUGCGUACUGCAUGAACAGUGACCGCAACCGGCUGCGAGACCGGUCCGAUCAAGUUAACUGCUGGAACAGGAUUACCUACAUGGUAUGUCGUAAUGAAAAGAUUUGGAGAGAGGUGAAGAUUUAACAGGAAGAGAUUAGCGGAAUGAAUUUUUUAAAGAAUCCAGAUACAGAUCUCACCGGACAGAACCGACGAAACCAAAGCGUUUUUAUCAGUCUUCCAAUCAUGGUACAACCCAAUAACCCAUCAGCAGCAUGAGUUUCUCUUCCCUGUGCAAGAGACAUAACAUAUAUCAACAGCAGACAAAAAAAUAAUAUAUAUCUAAAUUUAAGCGUCGUUGAAGAUAUACCCAAACCAUUAGAAACGGUAUUCGUUUACUACGAAGAGAAUGAGAGACGAAGACGGCUUCACCGGAGAGAGGAGGAGCAGUUUUGGGGGGGAGUGGAAAUCAAAACUAAACUGGGCAGACCUCCAUGUUUGAUCCAACCCAUCAGAAUCAGAACCAGACGUAUCGUUGUGCUGCGCAAACAGAGUUCAUUUGAUGAAAUCAAUGUACAAACAUAAAUAUAAAAGAGAUUUAUUAUGCUGAAUCGUUACCUGACCCGCUGAAAAAUCCAUUCGUUAUUAUCUUGAGAAUAAUGGCGGAGAGAGCUUGAGGCUAGAGCAAAGAAAGCUUGUGGAGGGAAAACAGAACAAAAGCAGAGCAGUGACAUUUGAAAAUAGAGAGGAAAAGUCAAAUAAUUACACAGAUUUGAUAGCCAUAAUUCAAAAUUCAAAAAGCAGUGUCAGACAAUAAUGAUCAAUGGCAGUGCCCGUAAAUAAGAGGCCCGAGAGGGGCAGUCGACGUAAUUAGGACGCAUUUUUGCCAUCAGGAUUUAUAUUCUGUAGAUAAUAUAAUUUAUAGGAUAGUGCAUUUCCGGCAUGGUAGCGGUGGAACUGGCAUGGUAGACGUGAUCAGGGACACUUCUUUCGACCACCGUGAGUAGUCAUAUUAGCGUAACAAGGACAAACUUCAUAGUUGCCGUAAGUUCCUGGAGGUACGCAACUGCAGCGCGCGCAGCAAGUCCCACAUGCCCUGUGGCACAGAUUUGGCCUGCUUGAUAACUUGCAUCUCUCGCCGCAUCUCGCUUUGCAAUCUACAUUACACACAACAGAUCAUCAGUGUUUUUUGUGCAUGUAAUUUCUCUCUAUCUCUAUGUAUACACAUGCUUAAAUUUUACCUAUUUUCUGGACAAGAGAACGGCCGCU
rnacentral:lncRNA from 1 species